GCAGCAGUGGGGAAUAUGCACAAUGGGCGCAAGCCUGAUGCAGCGACGCCGCGUGAGGGAUGACGGCCUUCGGGUUGUAAACCUCUUUCACCAGGGACGAAGCGCAAGUGACGGUACCUGGAGAAGAAGCACCGGCCAACUACGUGCCAGCAGCCGCGGUAAUACGUAGGGUGCGAGCGUUGUCCGGAAUUACUGGGCGUAAAGAGCUCGUAGGCGGUUUGUCGCGUCGUCUGUGAAAUUCUGCAACUCAAUUGUAGGCGUGCAGGCGAUACGGGCAGACUUGAGUACUACAGGGGAGACUGGAAUUCCUGGUGUAGCGGUGAAAUGCGCAGAUAUCAGGAGGAACACCGGUGGCGAAGGCGGGUCUCUGGGUAGUAACUGACGCUGAGGAGCGAAAGCGUGGG
rnacentral:rRNA from 1 species